AUACUCUGGUUUCUCUUCAUAGCGCAUAAAUCUUUCGCCUUUUACUAAAGAUUUCCGUGGAGAGGAACAGUUAUGAGUUUGUAACUAAUUUUUUUAAGGCCUCGUUUUAACGAGGCU